AGGGUUUGAUUAUGGCUCAGAUUGAACGCUGGCGGCAGGCCUAACACAUGCAAGUCGAACGGCAGCACGGGGGCAACCCUGGUGGCGAGUGGCGAACGGGUGAGUAAUACAUCGGAACGUGUCCUGUAGUGGGGGAUAGCCCGGCGAAAGCCGGAUUAAUACCGCAUACGCUCUGCGGAGGAAAGCGGGGGCUCCUUCGGGACCUCGCGCUACAGGGGCGGCCGAUGGCAGAUUAGCUAGUUGGUGGGGUAAAGGCCUACCAAGGCGACGAUCUGUAGCUGGUCUGAGAGGACGACCAGCCACACUGGGACUGAGACACGGCCCAGACUCCUACGGGAGGCAGCAGUGGGGAAUUUUGGACAAUGGGCGCAAGCCUGAUCCAGCAAUGCCGCGUGUGUGAAGAAGGCCUUCGGGUUGUAAAGCACUUUUGUCCAGAAAGAAAACCUCAGCCCUAAUACGGCGGGGGGAUGACGGUACCGGAAGAAUAAGCACCGGCUAACUACGUGCCAGCAGCCGCGGUAAUACGUAGGGUGCAAGCGUUAAUCGGAAUUACUGGGCGUAAAGCGUGCGCAGGCGGUCCGCUAAGACAGAUGUGAAAUCCCCGGGCUUAACCUGGGAACUGCAUUUGUGACUGGCGGGCUAGAGUAUGGCAGAGGGGGGUAGAAUUCCACAUGUAGCAGUGAAAUGCGUAGAGAUGUGGAGGAAUACCGAUGGCGAAGGCAGCCCCCUGGGCCAAUACUGACGCUCAUGCACGAAAGCGUGGGGAACAAACAGGAUUAGAUACCCUGGUAGUCCACGCCCUAAACGAUGUCAACUAGUUGUCGGGCCUUCAUUGGCUUGGUAACGUAGCUAACGCGUGAAGUUGACCGCCUGGGGAGUACGGUCGCAAGAUUAAAACUCAAAGGAAUUGACGGGGACCCGCACAAGCGGUGGAUGAUGUGGAUUAAUU
rnacentral:rRNA from 1 species